rfam:Salmo salar isolate Sally breed double haploid chromosome ssa01, whole genome shotgun sequence.
CCUGUAACAAUAUCCUGGUGCUGCCUGAGUGCCUCUUCAUAGACUCCAGCAUCAGUGAUUUUGUUGCAGG